GAUGAACGCUGGCGGCGUGCCUAAUACAUGCAAGUCGAGCGAACAGAUAAGGAGCUUGCUCCUUUGACGUUAGCGGCGGACGGGUGAGUAACACGUGGGUAACCUACCUAUAAGACUGGAAUAACUCCGGGAAACCGGGGCUAAUGCCGGAUAACAUUUAGAACCGCAUGGUUCUAAAGUGAAAGAUGGUUUUGCUAUCACUUAUAGAUGGACCCGCGCCGUAUUAGCUAGUUGGUAGGGUAACGGCUUACCAAGGCAACGAUACGUAGCCGACCUGAGAGGGUGAUCGGCCACACUGGAACUGAGACACGGUCCAGACUCCUACGGGAGGCAGCAGUAGGGAAUCUUCCGCAAUGGGCGAAAGCCUGACGGAGCAACGCCGCGUGAGUGAUGAAGGUCUUCGGAUCGUAAAACUCUGUUAUUAGGGAAGAACAAAUGUGUAAGUAACUGUGCACGUCUUGACGGUACCUAAUCAGAAAGCCACGGCUAACUACGUG
rnacentral:rRNA from 1 species